rnacentral:tRNA from 1 species
GAAAUAAAAUAAUUUGAAUUUCUAAUUCAAAAAUUAAUAUUAADUAUAUUAUUAUUUCU